AUUGAACGCUGGCGGCAGGCCUAACACAUGCAAGUCGAGCGGGGCGGCGGACGGGCGAGUAAUGCCUAGGUAUCUGCCUGGUCGUGGGGGGUAACGUCCGGAAACGGGCGCUAAUACCGACUACUCGCAGAUGAGCCUAGGUCGGAUUAGCUAGUUGGUGGGUUAAAGGCCUACCAAGGCGACGAUCCCUCACUGGUCUGAGAGGAUGAUCAGUCACACUGGAACUGAGACACGGUCCAGACUCCUACGGGAGGCAGCAGUGGGGAAUAUUGGACAAUGGGCGAAAGCCUGAUCCAGCCAUGCCGCGUGUGUGAAGAAGGUCUUCGGAUUGUAAAGCACUUUAAGUUGGGAGGCGUUACCAACAGAAGAAGCACCGGCUAACUUCGUGCCAGCAGCCGCGGUAAUUC
rnacentral:rRNA from 1 species